CGGACGUGAGGAACCUGCCUUUCAGAGGGGGACAACAGUUGGAAACGACUGCUAAUACCGCAUGACACAUUGGGGUCGCAUGGCCCUGAUGUCAAAGAUUUAUCGCUGAAAGAUGGCCUCGCGUCUGAUUAGCUAGUUGGUGAGGUAACGGCCCACCAAGGCGACGAUCAGUAGCCGGACUGAGAGGUUGACCGGCCACAUUGGGACUGAGAUACGGCCCAG
rnacentral:rRNA from 1 species